rnacentral:rRNA from 1 species
GAUGAACGCUGGCGGCGUGCCUAAUACAUGCAAGUCGAGCGAACAGAUGAGGAGCUUGCUCCUCUGACGUUAGCGGCGGACGGGUGAGUAACACGUGGAUAACCUACCUCUAAGACUGGGAUAACUUCGGGAAACCGGUUCUAAUACCGGAUAAUAUAUUGAACCGCAUGGUUCAAUAGUGAAUGACGGUUUUGCUGUCACUUAUAGAUGGAUCCGCGCCGCAUUAGCUAGUUGGUAAGGUAACGGCUUACCAAGGCAACGAUGCGUAGCCGACCUGAGAGGGUGAUCAGCCACACUGGAACUGAGACACGGUCCAGACUCCUACGGGAGGCAGCAGUAGGGAAUCUUCCGCAAAGGGCGAAAGCCUGACGGAGCAACGCCGCGUGAGUGAAGAAGGUCUUCGGAUCGUAAAACUCUGUUAUUAGGGAAGAAAAAAAGUAUAAGUAAAUAUGCACGUCUUGACGGUACCUAAACAGAAAGCCACGGCUAACUACGUG